GAACCGGAGUUCCCUAUCCCAGCGUUAGGGGAAUCGUGUAGUUUUGUGAGAUUAGCGAUUCGUUCAAAUGUGGCUGCAAUGCAUCACUGCAGGAUGCAGCUAUGGAUCUAUUGUAAACCCAACAGCACUCAAUAAGAGAAGAAUGCGUUGCCUAUCUGCUGUCACCGCCGAGGGGAUCAAGUCGGCGGGACUGUCCCACGCGCUCCAUGCACCGCGCAGAGCAUCAUUCGGAGGGACACAGUGAGGAGCAGUGCAGCAUCCUCGCAUGCGUGGACUCGUCGACAUCACCCUGCAACCUGUCUCACCUCAACAGCUCACAUUCGGCUCAAUUAACUUAUCGUCGGACUGUGGGUGACAGUACGAUGAGGAACUUGGCGCUUCUGCUCGGAGUAAAAGCCGCCUGCAUCCUGCUGGUGUCGUCGCUCUCCGGCACCGGGGCAGUCAACAACAGUGGCCGC